UACGAAGGGGGCUAGCGUUGCUCGGAAUCACUGGGCGUAAAGCGCACGUAGGCGGAUCCUUAAGUCGGGGGUGAAAUCCCGGAGCUCAACUCCGGAACUGCCUUUGAUACUGGCGAUCUUGAGUCCGGAAGAGGUUGGUGGAACAGCUAGUGUAGAGGUGAAAUUCGUAGAUAUUAGGAAGAACACCAGUGGCGAAGGCGGCUCACUGGCCCGUUACCGACGCUCAGGCGCGACAGCGUGGGGAGCAAACAGG
rnacentral:rRNA from 1 species